rnacentral:tRNA from 2 species
CUCCAUUAGCUCAGAUGGGAGAGCACUCGACUUUUAAUCGAGUGGCCAUGGGUCCGAGGUCUACACUUCGUUCCGGUCCGUGCUGGACG